UACGUAGGGUGCGAGCGUUAAUCGGAAUUACUGGGCGUAAAGCGUGCGUAGACGGUCAUGUAAGUCGAGUGUGAAAGCCCCGGGCUCAACCUGGGAAUUGCAUUCGAGACUGCAUGGCUAGGAUGCGGAAGAGGGAAGCGGAAUUUCCGGUGUAGCGGUGAAAUGCGUAGAUAUCGGAAGGAACACCAGUGGCGAAAGCGGCUUCCUGGUCCAGCAUCGACGUUCAGGCACGAAAGCGUGGGGAGCAAACAGG
rnacentral:rRNA from 1 species